UAUCUCUGGUUCCUUUGCAUUUGACCGAGAAAAUCUUUCGCCUUUUACUAAAGAUUUCCGUGCAAAGGAGCAA
rfam:Heligmosomoides polygyrus genome assembly, scaffold: HPBE_contig0014923